AUUGAACGCUGGCGGCAUGCCUUACACAUGCAAGUCGAACGGCAGCACGGGUGCUUGCACCUGGUGGCGAGUGGCGAACGGGUGAGUAAUACAUCGGAACAUGUCCUGUAGUGGGGGAUAGCCCGGCGAAAGCCGGAUUAAUACCGCAUACGAUCCACGGAUGAAAGCGGGGGACCUUCGGGCCUCGCGCUAUAGGGUUGGCCGAUGGCUGAUUAGCUAGUUGGUGGGGUAAAGGCCUACCAAGGCGACGAUCAGUAGCUGGUCUGAGAGGACGACCAGCCACACUGGGACUGAGACACGGCCCAGACUCCUACGGGAGGCAGCAGUGUGGAAUUUUGGACAAUGGGCGAAAGCCUGAUCCAGCAAUGCCGCGUGUGUGAAGAAGGCCUUCGGGUUGUAAAGCACUUUUGUCCGGAAAGAAAUCCUUGACUCUAAUACAGUCGGGGGAUGACGGUACCGGAAGAAUAAGCACCGGCUAACUACGU
rnacentral:rRNA from 1 species